UACUAGCCUUGGAGUUUCAUGUUCUCUCCUA
rnacentral:piRNA from 1 species